UUAAAAGUCAUUGAAGUCGGUUGGAACUUGACUGGGUGGGUCGAAACGAGGUGAAACAGUGCUAGAAAAAUAAAACAGUGGUGGCGCAUGUACAAAACAUGUGGUGGAACUAUAGGUGUUAUGGAAUGGUUUUCUCACUCGCAAGCGUGUCGGGGGGCGUGAACUCUAUCCACAGGUUGCCCCUCCUCUCCUUCUUGCUUUCUAACCGGUGAUGUAUGUCACUACUGCUCACGGUGGGAGAUCAGUGGCUGCAAAGUUUGAAAAGGGAGAAACAUAGAAUGAAGCAUGUAAAGAAAAUCCCUAUCGCCUCUGGAAGUUGAAGGCUCUGAUAGAAAAGGCAAAUAUGAACGCAAAGAGGACUGUCCAGCCAAGAACCGCGGCUGCAACCACUCCAACAAAAUCAUGGUCGAAUCCGAAAUAGUUCUUCACAUAUUGUUUCACUGUUUCAGUUUCGGUGAGGUUCUUCUGUAUAUCUCCAUACUGUGAUACAACCAAUCCAUACAAGGACCAUGAUACGGGGCAUGCCCAGUAGUACCACCUCCACCAUAUAGGUAUCCGCUGUUGUAAUAGACCAAAGCAGAAAAAAGAAUCACGAUAUUGUUCCUCAA